UACGUAGGGUCCGAGCGUUAAUCGGAAUUACUGGGCGUACAGCGUUCGCAGGCGGUUUUGUAAGCCAGAUGUGAAAUCCCCGAGCUUAACUUGGGAACUGCAUUUGGGACUGCAAAGCUGGAGUACGGCAGAGGGAGGUGGAAUUCCACGUGUAGCAGUGAAAUGCGUAGAUAUCGGGAAGAACACCAAAGGCGAAAGCGCUCUGCUGGGCCGAAACUGACACUGAGAGACGAAAGCUAGGGGAGCGAAUGGG
rnacentral:rRNA from 1 species